GAUGAUUACACCAAAAAACAUACAACUCCGGGGAGGCUUGUGUUUUCUAGCAAGCCUUUCCCACAGAUACGCAAUACAAUCUAUAUAUAUAUAU
rnacentral:rRNA from 1 species